rnacentral:rRNA from 1 species
GUGAGGAAUAUUGGUCAAUGGGCGAGAGCCUGAACCAGCCAAGUCGCGUGAAGGAAGAAGGAUCUAUGGUUCGUAAACUUCUUUUGCAGGGGAUUAAAGUGCGGGACGUGUCCUGUUUUGUAUGUACCCUGAGAAUAAGGAUCGGCUAACUCCGUGCCAGCAGCCGCGGUAAUACGGAGGAUCCGAGCGUUAUCCGGAUUUAUUGGGUUUAAAGGGUGCGUAGGUGGUUUGAUAAGUCAGCGGUGAAAGUUUGCAGCUUAACUGUAAAAAUGCCGUUGAAACUGUCGGACUUGAGUGUAAAUGAGGUAGGCGGAAUGCGUGGUGUAGCGGUGAAAUGCAUAGAUAUCACGCAGAACUCCGAUUGCGAAGGCAGCUUACUAAGCUACAACUGACACUGAAGCACGAAAGCGUGGGGAUCAAACAGGAUUAGAUACCCGUGUAGUCC